rnacentral:tRNA from 1 species
UUAUGGCUCAGUGGAGAGCACUCACCUAGCACGUGCGAGGUCCUGAGUUCGAUCCUCAGCCCCAUAUAAA